UAAAAAGGGCUGGGGUUUUGGCUCAAGUGGUAGAGUGCCUUCUUAGCAAGCUCAAGGCCCUGAGUUCAAACCCCAGCACUGCCAAACAACACAUAAACAAAACCCUUAGAAACACUAAGCAGUGUCAUCUCUCCUUUAAAAAAAUACAUCUAUGUGAACUAGCCAUGUAGUUUUAUUUCCAGGUAUCUCCUUUCCACACUGCUUGAAGUACUCAGAACAUCAUUCACUAUACUGCUUGCUGACUGAAUGAUAGGCAGUUUACUCACCACUUCUGUGCCUUGUGUCAGUGUCCUAGUCUGUGAGGUAGGGAUAAUAGGGUAAAACUAAUAGUCCUUACCUUGGGGUUAACGUGAGGUUGAAUAAGAAAUGCUGUUAGGUCUGUGACUGGCAAAAUGGCCUGUUACACAAGGAGCACUCAAAUAACUCUACCUCUUAUCUCGCUGUACUUAAUUAAUGUAGUCAUCCCUUGGUGUCCAUGGACUGGUUCCACAACACACCGGCCCUUGCAGAUCUGCAGUCUAAGAUGUCAAGAAAUUGGUGUGAAAUAGCAGACAGCCUAUGUACAUCCUCCUGUUUAAGUUAGUUCUAGAUUACUUGUGAUAGCUAACACAAGGGAAAUGCUAUGUAAACAGUUACUAUAUAUUAUUUGGGGAAUAAUGACAAGAAAACACUGCACAUAUUCAGUACAAACACAGGUUUGUUUCAGAUAUUUUCAGUGUACAGUUGGCUGCAAGUGUAGGUAUGGAGCCAUGGGUAGAGGAGCGGCUGUGUGUACUUUCUGAUCUUUGUAGUCUUUUUGCUGAGUCCAGUGGCUAUCUAUCCAUACUCAGUUCCUCUCAUAUUGAAUAGGGUUAGGAACACUGACCUAUGGAAAAUGACAUAUUUUUCUGUGCCACCUAAUGUCCUUUUUAUUUUUGUCUAGAACUUUUUUUCUCCCUGUAUAUGAGUUUUGAAGACCUUUCUCAUAUUUAGAUUUUGCUUGGACUUUAUCUCCUCUAGGAGAUUUCUCUUUCCCCUAGCCCUAGCCACUUACUUAACUGUCCUGCCUCUUUGCGCUUACAGUUCACCAAGCUCAUAACUCUGUAACUGCACUUGGAACACGAAUCAUAAAUCUCCCUUCAUCUCUGCCUUUGAGCUUCGAGCCUGGGCUUUACAGCUUUGUGCUCUUACCUCUUGUGGGAAACUCUUCAUGGGUAGUAGAGCCUCCAGAAAUGUGUACUAUGUAGUUCUUAGCUGAAGGGAUGAGCAUGGACUUUGCUCGUAGGCACCUUACUAUUUGUUUGACAAGAUAAUAUGUACACCUGAGACGUGGAGAUGAACAAGAAAGUGCAGUAGUGUUAUCUAUAUUUUUAGAUUUUUUUUAGUUUAUAAUUAAUUUUCAAAAACCUAAGAUUCUUUUUCUAGCAGGUUAACAGUUGUUUACGUAUUGCACACAUGGGCAUUAGUGUUCACAGAUACAACUACAUUGAUUUAGGUCAGCCAGACCAGACUGUGAGUAGCAAAAUCCAGUUUUAUAAACUAGGUUUUGUGACUUUAGGACAGAAAUAGAAAAUAAAACUUGGUUACUCUUUCUGGCAUUUACACAUUCUUUGUUCUUUCUGUUUUUAUUUACUUAAUUUUUUUAUUGUAAAUUUUAAGCAUAAUAUAUCAAAUUAGCAUUUUGUAUGCACGUAUGCAUGUACAUAUCAAUCAAUACUUUAUCCAUGUUGUGUCAUUUUAUGUUAAAACAUAUCUCAGACAACCUGUUAUUUUAUGUGUAAAUUUUUAGUAGUCUCCAACAGAUAGGAACCUGUUUUAAAUAUAACUCCACUUACAAAUCUAUCAGACUUGACAGUAAUUGCAGUGUGUUACUUAAUAUGUACUUUGUGUUCAGUUCCAUUGCAGUGGAAAAGAGCAGUGUCUUUACUAUGGGUGUAUCAUUCAUGUUGGCAUCGAAACAGAACUUGAGUAUUCCAUUUGGAUGCAGUGUCUCUUAAGAUGCUUUUCAUCUGUAACCAUUUGUGUUUCUGUGUUAUUCUUAGGGCUUUAUUUGUUAGGAAACCCAGAUCAUAGUCCUGGAAAAUGUCUGAAAUUCUUAAUUCAUCUGAUUGCUUUGCUAUCAGGUCACUUAUUUGUUCAUCUUAUUUUCUGUAAACUAGAAAUUAGAGCUACUGUUGAGUUCACCUAUAAUUUAUUUACUAUUAUUUAGUGAGAACUCUUUCCACAUGGUCCUGUGUACUUUUGAUAUAUCAUACCAGGAAGAAAUUGUGGAUUAUUUUUUAGCAGCUGAUUCUUUAAGAAUUGUAGAAUAAUAACUUUUAAGCAUACUUUUCCUGCUACAUUUAUUGCUAGAAAUUCUCUUAUAAAUAACUUUCCUUUAAGUGUUAUUUAGCAACUGCAAAAUACAUUUUAUAUCAGAUAAGUAGGGAAAAUGCAUGCCUUUUGACUUAUCAACUUUCAGAAUUAAAUAUUACCUUCUAAUCUAAGAUUAUUUUAAAUUAACAUUCAUAGUAUUCUAAUAAAUUUAAAAACUUUUCUUCUGGGAAAAUUCUUUGAGUUGUUUCUAAUCUUGUUAAAACUAAUAUAUUUUGAUAACAUUACUUCCCAUGGUGCUAAGAAGUUCACUUUCUUUUUUCUUUAUUGUAAAUAUGCCUUAAUGAGUAUGUUGUGGAUUUUAGAAUAAUUAUUUAGGUACUCAUUGCUAUUCUAAGUCUUCUAGAUGUUUUCUGAAGAAUAGAAACAGCUCUCAUAUUCAUGGUCAGAUAUUGAUAGAACUGUUACAAUUAUUUGAUAUUAGAGGAGAAGGCCAAGUCUUGACAUCAAAUUAAAGUAUAUUUAUAAUUAUAAAUUAGAAAUAGGAAUGCUUUAAAUUAUGCUACUAAACCUUUGCUAACAUGUUUUAUGAUGUUGCAGAGAAGUGCUGGGAAGAAAGAGAUCUUUAAAAGGAUGGAUAUUCUGUUUGCUUUGCUAAAGUUCUUAUCAGGAAAUUUGAAAGGAAUAUAAAAAAGUGAAUGUUAUUUCUGUAACUCUAAGGAUUCCAUUGAAUUUAACUUUGAAGAUAAAAAGUGGAUGUUUAUUUAUGUCCAUUGAAAGACUUGAGGAAAUAGUUCCAUCUGAACAGCACAAAAAUUGACAAAAUUUUGUUAACAUAUUGACUAUUUUAAUCUUUUGAAAAUGGAAGGCGUGCAUCAAGGUGACAGUAGUAAAAUUCUAAAGAGUUUGUGAAAAGUAGACGUUAUGCAACAGGAAAAGAAUACCAGGGGAAAAACUGACAGAGUACAACAACAGGAAGAUUAGUCACUUCUGGAAGGAAAGAAAGGUGGGGGUUGGGGUAGGGGAAGAAGUAUUUUAAACAGGAAUGUGAACUGGAAGUGCCUGUGCUAAAAGGCAUAUGUGAGCUCAUUUCAGAACUAAACUGAGUUUUUACAAAGGAACACUGGUAGCAUCAAAUAUCAAAACAUGAAGUUUGUAUUAAUAAUAAAUAGAACAAAAUGGAACAAAUUUUCUGUUAGGCCUUAAGAAAGCCUGGAAAAAUAAAAGACUGAUGUUUAUUCUUUAAUGGAGCAGAUUUGGCUUAACUUAGAUAGCAUUGUCAAAUGUGAAUAAAGAAAAUAUAUUUCUUUCAAAGCAAGCUGAAAUUCUAUUAUCCUCAAGUGUCAAAUAAAAAGAAGCAUUAUGAUGUCCUGGCUAUGACUGCUAUUCAGUUUGAAGUAAUUUUCACUUCUGUAGUUCAUUCAUUUGACAAAUAAAGGAGAAGCAAUCUCCAAAUAUUUUAAAAAUGAUUUCUUAAAAAUAUAGAUUGUAACUCACUAUAUGAGAGAGAGAGAGAGAGAGAGAGAUAAGAAGAGAGAGAAAGAAAUUGAGAGAGAGAGAGAUUGAGAGAUUGAGAUUGAGAUAGUGUGUUGAUGAAGUCCCAUGGAUCUCUGGUUUCUAUUCUGGGUUCUAGUGACAUUCAUGAAACAGAUUUUGCUGGUCAUAUGUUCAACCACUUUGAAUGCUCUCACCCAUCAAAUGGUAAUAAUAACAUACCUCCUUCAAAACUGUAACAAGAGCAAACCUAAUUAGACAUGUGUAGAAGCCUUACAAAGUGGUGGUAUUUUGUUCCCUUAACAGACCUGUAGUCAAGUAUUGAACCCAACCUAAGCUUGAAUGAUGCAUUUCUAAUUAAUACUUGGGAGACAGAUGGACAACUGCAGUGGAAGUUCUUUUGAUGCCUUAGUUAUUCAUAACUGUCUGUUUUGUGGGUCCAUACUGGACAAAUGGAAAAUUGUUACUUCUCGUGGUCAUCCCUUAGUUACUCCAGUAGGUAGCAAAUCAUAUACAAUGAAUUUUAAAUAAAACAGAUAAAUCUAAGCAGAUAACUCUUAAGAUUAUGUAAGCAUGACACCAGUACAAUCUACCUUAUCAGGAAAAGGGUAUACUAUUUUCACUUAAAGACAGAAAAUGAUUUCCAUAUACUGAAAAAGAUUUAUUUGAUGUAACUCUGUGGAAUAUGUCAUUCUGUAUUAUUGAAUUCAUGGAAAUGUAAUGAAUUCAUGUAGCAAGGCUUUCCUAUUGAUUUUGUUACAAAUCUAAACACUUCCAUAGUCCAUGUGCACAGAAUUUGCUGAGAUAAAUUCAGUCUCCUGUAUAAAGUAGCCAUCUAACACAGACACCAAAUACUGCCUUAUUUAAAAACCUUUUUCACCCUCUCACUCCUUCCCCUCCCCCAGACAUAACUGAAUAGGAAAUGUUUAUUUUCCAAACUAUAGAAGACAAAUGUUAUCUAAAACACUGAGAGUUCUUCCUUUUCCUCCUUUGGAAACACUAAGUCAUAUUGAGUCACUUGUGGAUUUUAUUUAGCCAGUUGUAUUUAAAGCAUAAAAUUGUGAGGACAAAAUGACUCAGGAAUUUGUAAUGUACAGUUAAAACUUUUCACUUUUAGGUCACUAGUUCAUACACAAAUGGCUUAGUGUUAGGUAAGGAUUGGUGGAUUGUUUGGUUAUCCUCUGGGGAAGCUGGCUGUAACCUCACAUCUUCUGACUUAAGUGUUCCCUAGUUUGUUUAUGAUUGUAUUUAUUUUCAGAUAAGCAUGUUCAAGGAAUUAAAUAAAAGGGAGAGAACCUGCUAAGAGCUGAUGAAUAAAGAAGCUGUUGCUUCUUACUCAUCCAUAAAUACUGCUUUUACUGAUAAUCAUUUUAAAAUAAGUGAAGUGUUAAAAUGAUCAGAAAGUUAUACUUGAAUCUUACUAAUUACACUGUCAUUGAUAUCAGCAAGAAUAAGAACUAACUGCAGUGGAUAAGUUGAGAAAUCAGAAUUGUAUCUCUGUCUGUAUCUAUAUAAGUAUAUAUUUGGAUGACUGUGUAAAUGACUCAUGAUUCUUACUAGUGUAUCCCUUAAUGCCAAUGUCAUAAAAAUUGUUCAAGGGGCUGAGGCAUGAGGACUGGAAGUGCAAGGCCAGGUUGGGUUACAUAGGGAAACCUUGUCUCAAAAAUAGUUUAUUUUUCAGAUCCAUCUUAUAUAAAAGCCUACAGGGUUACUUUGUUUAUCUCACCCAAAAGAUGUCAGGGUGUGCUUUUUAACAUUUUUAAGUAAUCUGUGUAUAUUCAGCAUUAACAUCGGAUACUGAAACAUGUAAAUCUCUUGUUGUCAGCCAGAGAAUAAAUCAGACUCUAGUGGGUGAGAUAUGUAAUACCCAGAGAAUGCUACAGAGAAGAUGCUUGUCUAGACAUUGGGUACAGAACUGUCAUUUGCCUCCUAUGGUAAUGUUUGAUUUUUAAAAUAAUUGAGAGUAAAUAAACUCUAAGUGACACAUUACUUCAAGCUAUUCCACAUGGGCACAUGAAUGAAUUAUUCUUGUUCAAUGCUGCCAGUGCCUGCAUUUCUUAAACCUUAUGGCUAAAUUGUAACAGAAGGAAAAUGCCUUCACCAUAAUUCUUCAAAUAUUCUUUCUGAAGUUUUAAUGGAUUUCUUUGUGCUAAUUUAUAUUAGGUUAGGCCUAAAAAAACAGCUGAAGAUAGCCAAAGUUAGUCCAGAGAGUUCUAGGCUUCCUGAUAAAUUAAAGAAAUAGGUUUGUUUCUGAAUUCUUAAUUGGCUUUCUACUCUUAAAUUUAUGGCCUUAGCUGUUUGAUUUGAACUGUCUGAUGACUUUGGUCCUCAUUCGCUAAUUCAGGGAAGGUCAUUUUAGCUGCUGAAGGGAGUACUUUGGUCCAAGGUUGGUUUCUGACUGUGUCUCAUGGGAUGACCCUUGGAUUUCUGAAGCUGUCUCUGAACUCAUAAUUAUUGUCUAAGCCAAUCACUUAAUUAGAUUUAUUUGCCAAGAUGGUAAUGAAAUAUAAAGUAUGACUUGCAGCAAUGGUAGUCCUCCCCAACAGAAUGACAGGACACUUCAAUGGUAGUAAUGUUUCUGCCCUGGUAAUACCUCUGAAGAUAUGACACACUUGGGAAAAAAUGUGAAAACUGAAUUUGUCCUUGACACUCUUAAGACCUGAGAAUCACAUAAAACAUUUGUUAAUUCCUAACACUAGUAAGUAUCAUGAAGAGGAAGGCAUGCACAUGAUAUAAGCUUGUGUACAUGUUUAUAAAUACUAGGUUUUUGAAAAGGCACAGUCCGUGCCAGAUCUGCCCCCAGAGUUCUGGUCAGACAUGAUGUUUCUUACUCCCUUUUUUGAAGAACUAUAAUGCUCCAUCAGCUUUCAAGAGGCAAUAGAGGGGAGAGCCACAGCUUCGAGGUCUACAUUCCCUAGGUCCAAAUUUUACCUUUGCUGUUUGUUAUUUGCAUGACCUUUCCCAGCCUGCCUCAAAUCAUCAGGUACACCUUAUCAAAUUGAAGCAUAUCUACCUUGUUGGUUUGUUGUGAAUGUUAAAUAAGUUAGUAUAGGUAAAGGUAUUGCAGACUUUUAUGAUGUACAAUAAGUACUGUUGACAUAAUAGCUAUUGUUAAAUCUUAAUGUUGAUGUAAACAUUUUGUAAUGUGUAUGUUGUCAAUAAGUUUUCAAUACCGAAGUAAAUAAAAGCCAGAAUUAGUGUUGCAGUUUUAAUGAGGUGACUUAGAGCUCUAGCUCUGGAACGUUACAACUUGGAUUCAUAUUAUUGUGACCUGAAGAAGCUAUAUGACUUAGUGGGUCCUCAUUUUCCAAAAAGGGGUAGUACUAAUAUUUAAUGUUGUGUGGUGCUGUGCAGAUUAAAUGGGAUAACACAUAUCACACAUUUGAUACUUGGUCCUUAAUGAGUUGCCAGUGUGAGUUACCUUUGUUCUUAUUCCUUCUUGUAAAGUACUUACACGUGAGAAACAUACUAAGAAUCUGCGUAUAUAGGGUUUUCAUUUUUGUUAAUGAGGGUUAUUAAUCUCUGUUCUGCACAGAACACAUGCAUGGUGUUUAUUCUCUAAUAAGUAAAUGAUUAGGAAAAGAUUAAUUUCUAAAAACUUAUCCUUUGUAGAGCUACUUAAGUUACAGUUAAAAUCGAGUUGGUACUCUUUGUAGAAUUUUAGCUUUGGAUAAAUUAGUUAGAUCAACGUUUUAGUAAUGUUAUUACAUGCUUAGAUCUGUUAUCAGUCAUGUUUUAGCCAGUUGUUAACAUGAAUGUCAGUAAAAAAGAAAAACUGAUCAAUAAUGUCAAAAUGGAAAUGAAAUUUGGGAGCAAAGAAGUCAUUCAGUGUUUAUCUGUAAAGAUCCUGAGACUUGGCAUUUCCCCAUCUACUUAAGUGUUGUAAAGAUUGUGAAAACAUUAGCAUUUGCAAAUAAAACAGGGAUUCUAUGUUAGGAAGGCUAAUGAUUAUGAAAAAAUGACCAGAAUUGCUUUGUGAAAUUCUUUCUUUCAUUAACAGGAAAUUUUAGGGCAAUGCAUUUUCUUGUUGAAGUAGGCAGGGUGAAGAACAAUGUUAGAAGAAUGGAUCUAGGCUUUCCUGCAAUAAAGUAACCUUUUAAGAGCAGAUUUCUUCAUAGAAUUAGAGACUUAGAAUUUCAUAAUAACAAUAUACACAUCACCUUGUUUGGAGAGCAGAUUUUAAGUAUGAUCAAGAAAACACCUGUUUGACAUUGUGGAAAAGGUGCAUGGAAAAGUCUGUCUGGGUGUAGAAUAAACAAGAUUGCUUUGGCUAGCGUCCUGCAGUGAGGUGGGUCUGAAUGGUCUGCUCAGCUUCUGCCGCUGCUGCUGCUGCCGCUAGUGAUACUGAGGUGGAACGUGGUUGACCUAGCAUAUCCUUUACUCUUGGUGCUGCAGCAGUACACAGGAAGUGUUGUUUAAGGGAACGCUCUGGAUCCUUUUCAUGGCCCCAUGGCAAGAAGAAGCAGUAUCUUAUCUAUUGAAGAUGAAAGUGUGGAGUUGGCUAAUGGAUGCUGGUGAGUGAAUAAGGCAAACGGGGAUCCAGUUUACUAAGAUGCCUGUGGGGUAGGCAUCCUCUCUUUAGGACUGUGAUGGCGUCCAUGGAAACAUGGCCUCUGGCAGUCUGUUCCUCAGCAUUUGGUUUUAGAAAGGAAUCAUGGUUUUUACAUUAAUGAACUGAUCUAUAACCUGUGUGUGUUUCAUAAAUAAAGUUACUCCAAACUUUACUACUUAAAGCCAUUAAUCAUAAAAUUAAGUCAAUGGAGCAUAGCUCUCCAUACACAUUACUUGAAAUCUACUUUUGCUCUUUACUUGACUCUCAGUAAUUAAAAACAAAGACCUUCUAGUUUUUUCUUUCAUUUCUAAAUGAAUUAUUUAUUUUUUCACAGUAUAUUUUAUUUUUAAAAAACUGGUACUGAUUUUUCUAAUUCCACCACAUUGUGUAAAGAGCUUACGAAUAAAUGAAUGAACUCCUCUGUUUCAAAUCACCAGCAUUUAUUUAUACAAUUUUUGUGUCGUCUUAGUUUUGUUCAUAUUCCUAACAACUGAUUAUCAGGGGGCUGGGUGGCUCACAGUACUGUGUAGGUAGAGAUUAGGCUCAAGGCCAGCCAGGGCUAAUUGUUUGUAAGACCCAUUUCAAUCUGUAAGCCAGGUGUGGGAGCAGCCUUGCCUGUGGUCCCACCUAUGCGGGAAGUAAGGUAGCUAGGAGGAUCACAGACUGAGGUUGGGCAAAACCACAAGACUCUACCUGAAAAAUAAGCAAAGCAAAGAGGCCUGCCUUGUUGUGAUUCAAAUGGUAGCGCAGUUGCCUAAUAAGCAUGAGGCCCUGAGUUCAGACCUUGGCACAGCUAAAUAAAUAAGUAAAAAUAAAUAAGUAAAUAAAUAACUGGUUAUCAUAAGUGGGAUUGAAAAUAUAGGUGCAGAAAUACAAACUAUAGUUGAGUUUUUAGAUUUCAAGUCAAACUAUUACAUUUAUAAAAGGUAAGCUUCGUUUUUUGUUUGUUUGUUUGUUUGUGUUUUGUUUUCUUCUGUAGGGGCUAGCCUAAUCUGACGGCAUCAAAAUCUCUCUCACUGGUGUGAUGUUUUAAAAUUUUAAGUUUUACUUCAAACUACCAUCCAGAGAUUCUAAAACAAUAUUUUUAAAGGGAAUUGAGAUUCUUCAUCCUCCCUUCAUAAGAAUCCCAGUUUCUUUAAAUUUUAAAUAAUAAACAUUUGGGCAGUAUUGACUGUAUUGUAGUGUAGGUUUUAAUUUUUCCUUUCCAUUUAUUAAUUAUUUUUUGUGGUACUGCAGCUCUUUCCUAGGGCAUUGUGAAUGCUAGACAGACACUCUACCACUUGAGCCAUGCUGCCGGGCCUGGUCUUAAUGUUUAAACAGUGUCUGAUCCUUAGUGACUUAUCAGGCAUAAGUGAACUUUCCUUAAGAAAAAGUUGCAUUUAUUUCAUAUGUUGUUAACAAUAUAUAUUACAGAAGUCAGUAGCUAUUUUUAAAUUUUUCAAAUAAUUGCAAAAUCGUUUGAGCCAUUUGACACAAAGUAAAAUAGAUAAAGUAAUACUAUAAAGUGUGAAGUAUUAGAUAAAGUAAAACUUUCAUUGCCUUAGAUUUGAAGAAAAUCUAAGUUGGUAUUUGAAGUGAAGGAUUACAGACACAUAACUGCCAGUAGGCAAUAUAUUUCUUCACACCUAUUUUUAAAGUAAAUAUAAAAUACUCUGCAUGUUUAAUUUUCUCUUAGUUUUGAGAAGUGAGUGCCUAAAGCAUUGGAGUUGUUUUCAUUUGGUACAUACUACUGACAGAAUUCAUACUUUUUUUCUAACUUAUUUCAUCCAGUUUAUCAAAGCAGAAUGUAUUAGACAUCUGUUCUUGUAGUUGUCUAAUAUUUAAUCUUCAGUGGCUCAAGAUGAGUUCCUGGAGGCUGUGAGCAAUUGAAGAGCUGUGAAUAGUGGUUAACAAGCUAUUAGCACCUCUAUGCAAAGUGCAACAUCUUGAAGCACAACCAGAUUCAGGAGAACCUUAGAUGAGUGAGUCCUUUUUCUGAUAGUGCUCCAAAACUUAAGUUAAUCGCUUUUCUCUCUUCCUCCUUUUUUCUUCUCCCCUUUUUGUCUCCCAUCUCUUGCUUUUCUCAUCUCUGUGCUCUUUGUCCACUUCCCUCUUUUUUCCUCAAAUUCUCCUUCUCUUAUCUCAUUAGAUUCCUUCAAUCACCCUUCAUCUGAUGAUAGUAGAAAGUGAUGUUUUUGAUAAAAUGUGUGUUGUCCUUUUAAAAACAAUUUUAAUUACCUUUCAACUUAAAAACCAAUUGAGUUUAACAUCUCUGUCUUUGCAUUUUCUACUCUAAUUCUAGACAAGUAUGCCUGUUAAUCUCUUGCCCUGUGAAUCAGUGGUCUGGGAUUGUUUGUAUUUGUAAUUAACAUAAAGGUUGUGAUGAUGGAAUAUGACAUCUUACCCCAUUUUUCAACUUUAGUCUCAGUACAGUGGGCAUGCUAUGAUAUAUGUUCCUUAUUCUUCUUUCUAGAACUAGAUCUUCAGACCUCCUCAUCCGUGUUUGGCUUUCUUAUGGGGUGCGUCAAUGCCCUAUUGCCAUGUAUUUUGUUGCAUUUCUCUGUUGCUUCUUGUGUGCUGGCAGGGAAUUUUGGUGAUUGUUUUCAAGCGCUACCUGAGCUCUAUGCUAGUUGUUCCCUUUCUCCCAGGGUCUUGUGCUGCGUGGUCAUGUCUCUGUUUCCUUGGGCCUGCCCAUUGACAGAACCUUGUUUCCUUAUGGCUGCCUCUAAACGUUUGUGACGAUGGGGAAUAUUUCUCCUCCUGCUGCUACAAUUGAGCCCCGUGGUGGGAACCAUAUUGCCCUCUACACUUGCUUUCAGUUGUUAAGGCUUCCCAAGCUUUGGCUGUGGCUCAGCAGUCCUGCUGUCAAAACCCUGAAGCUUUUCUAGCCUGGACACUCAGUGGUAGCAGCAGGUGUUGGGAUUUCUCCAAGUUCCUAAGACCCUGGGAGGAAGAAAGUGGCUGUUGACAUAGACUGCAGGAGUUUUCAGAGCAUCAAGAAACCUCUCCAGAAGAUGUGGAAAGGUAAGAUUUGGAUUUCUCUAGAAGCUAUUCUAGAAGCUUUUUCAGACACUUCUAGCUGUGGAUUUAAUGUAAAUGGGUUUUAGUAACGAGUAUCCUUGGAGAACUAACUCUUUGAUAAUAGAGUCAAUAUAUAAGUCCUAGAUUGGAGAACUUAUUAAGAACAUUUUUUAAAGAAAUUUUGUGUGCUUAUGUUUCUGUUCUAUUUCACUUAUAUUAAGUCUGGCAUUGAACAGAUUUUUAAAAUAUUUCAUUCCAUUCUUGAAUUUGAACUUAUGAAGCAGAUCAUGUUUUUCUCGUUCACAAUCUGCAUCAUGUAUGAGAAAUAAGAGAAUUCUUAUCGAUUUAAGAUGGAUAAAAAUAAAAUAGAAUUUUUUUAACCAAAUGCCUAUAUUUUAUUUACUUCUCCAUUAAUAUUUAAAACUAAAAAAAUUAAAAUGAAUAUAUUUUCAGCUUCUCCAGACAGAUUCCUGAACACAUAAUUAAUUCAAAAGGAAUCAGAAGAACACUUAAAUCUUGGCUGUUCUAGGAUAGAUUAUUAUCCUUUGUCAGAAUUACUGCCUGGCAUUCUAAUAAUGUAACCGUCUCUUUUAGGGCUUUAUUUUCAGUUUUAUACAUGGAUUAUUCCACCUGCCUCUACUGUUGGGGAAAAUCAUUCGUGUAGCUUAUCUGGAUGGAGGAUCUGUGUUGGGAUGCUGGUGCUGGUUUUUGCAUGAGGGAUGGGGAGAGAGAUCACAUCUUAAAAUGAAUAAUGAAAGUUAUCUUGUGUGCAUUAUGGCUUUGUGCCAGCUUUAUUUAUAUGUCUUUAUUCUUUAUCCUGCAUCUGUUCAUGAAGUGGUAUUAAGACACCUUUUCCAAUAGGUUAUCAUUAUCAGCCUGUCACUUCAUGUCUUUUUUAUGUCUUUGCUUUCUUUUCAGUGUGAACUUAAUCUUUUCAUUGAUUCCCUAUAGCUGGAGUCAAGGCUUUUAACUUUAUGCCACAAAUGCCACAUUGAGUCCCUUUAAUUUUAAUAUCCCAAAGUGUAUCAGAAUUUAAGAAGUAAAAAAAUGUUUACAAAUAACUAAAAAAUGAAAAUCUCUGUAUUUGACAGUAUGUAUUUAGGAUGCUGUUUCUCAAUAAAUUUUAUUUUCAUAGACAGUUCAUUUAAUUUCAAAGUAGGUUCAUGCUAUAAGAGAAGCAAAAGAGGAAAUAUCCUAAUAUCCUAAAUCUAGAGAAUUUUUUUCUCACUGUUGUUCUGUAUGUAAAACAAGGUUUCAGGAUCUUCAGUGUUGACACCUAGUAUUUUACCCCUUGAGAUUUUACCUGUAAAGAAGAUAUGACAUCCAUAUACAGGAAUUGAACUGAAUAAGGGUAUGACAUCAUCUCUUGCAUUAAAUCUUUGGACUUUUUUAGUGUUGUAGCAGUAAUGACUGACUUUUUUUCCCUUCCAAGUUCAGUGUUUUGUUUUUUUAAGUAAAGUGUUAGAAUAUAUGAAAAUUUUGUGCCUAUUUCUCUUAAUACAUUAAAAAUAGUGGAAGUUUGGAAAUUGUCAAUUCUUUACAAGACCAGGCUGAGACCUGACCACACUAAUGUGAUCUGUUCAACAUAAGUAAUUCCAAGUUUGGUGACCAUUAGCAAACUGGCAUUUGCAAUUAAAUCCACAGACAUAAGUUUUCCAAUAGGGCCUUAUUCUCAUAAUGCCAGCCAAUGGUCUAAGUGGAGCUAAGCAAACCCAAAGUUCUGUGGACCUUUUGACAGUUGAUAAGCACCUGGGCUUCCUACACCACAAACUGCAAAAGCCAGCGACCAGACACCACUUGUUCUCGCAUAACCAGUGAUCCUGCCAAAAGUAACCAGUUCUGGGUGGCCAUAGUUAAGUCAAUUUAAAAACAUGAGUAGGCACUGUCCACUCUGUCCACCCAGGAGCUACACCAACUCUGUACCCAAACUGAUUUACUGAAGGUCUGUGCUGUUUGAUGAGGGUACACAAGACAUAGGAAAUUUAUUUUAUAAAACAAGAGGAUUUAUAAAAGUAUUUACACUUGAAAUGUCCAAGUUUUAUUCUCUCUAUACUCCAAAUGAUGGCUAAAUGGAAUGUUUUUAAGUCUUUAUAGUACCACAAAGUGGGUAAUUGACUUCAUAUGUAAAAACAGAAAAGUGAAAUUUUAAUGCUUUUAUUUGUAACAUUUAUGAGCUUACAAUUUUAAAAAUGAACCUUUUUUCACCUUUUUGAAAAGUAACUUGAGGCAGAGACUGGAGGGAGGAGUCUGCAUUAUUCUCACACUUGUCUUGAGUGCAUUUCCUUUUUAUUUCUCCAGAAUGGUUACAUUCUCUUGAGAGGGAAAUCAAACUAAUCUAAGAAUGUAAGCUCUGAAUUCCCUUUUUUAGCAAGUUCAAUUUGAAAGUAAUUUAAGUAUUUUUGGAGUAAUUUAUAAUACUCAUUUCAGAAAGAAUGUAAAAUCCUUACUAUAGAUCAUAGAAAUGGGUACUGGUUCUCAAAAUAAGGCCCAAACCACAGUCCUUAUUGCUCAUAAGAGAAUUUCUGCCUCACCCAACUCAAAAAUACUCAUCCCUCUCAAUUCCCAUCCCAUCUAUUCCUGCGCCCUUCUUGGAGAUUUUCAAGCAAUUGAUGCUGGCAGACUUUGAGAAAAGUCAAAUGUAAGGUUUUAUUAUUUUUGUCCUUUGUUGUAAUAAAUAAAUCAAAGUUUCUCAGUUUCAUUAGGCAUAUCCAUAAAGGAAUGAAAGAGCAUAUCUGAAGUGGUUGGAGCAACUGAAAGACGUAGGGUUGAGGUCAGAUACAAACAUUUUUAUUACUUUAGAGGAGUUCUGUUCAUAAACAAAAUAUUCCUGUUUAUUACUUAUUUUUUAUGUGGAACUGAAAGCUUAUUGGAUCAAUUAUACAAAAUUAAAAGGCUCUCUUUAGCUAUUUUAAUAGAUGAUUACUUACAUAUACAAUCCCGUUGCAAUCACCAUCUUAUGUAUUCUUCUUGAUGCAACUUGAGGUAGUGUUAUCAUUUCACCAGAACAGAUGAGGAAACUGAGACCAGAAGAAGAUGAAUAACCUGCAUGUGGUCUCAUAUUUGAGCAGAUUCAAACCUGGCAAGUGUGGUGGCUCCAGAGUACAUCCUCAGAGGUCCUUACCAGUGUGACCUCUUGUGGGGAGUGCUUGUUUUAAAUACAGUCCUAAUACUUUCCUUAGCACUGUGUCAUCUUUUUUUUUCUUUUUUCCUAAGUCUUUCAGCUCCAUUUGCUCUCAACUCCAUUUUGGGCUAUUUGUCCUUGGAAAGUUUAUCUUUUCUCAGAUGUAGUCCUACCCUUUCUAAAAUACGAGCAAUAAUAUCUCCUCAGAGUUUGUAAUGAAGAUUUAAUUAAAUAAGACAGUGUAUUCCAAGCACUUAGCAUUGUGGAUCGCAUACAGCAAAUAGUCAAUAAAUUAAUGUUGCUAUGUAAUUUUUCCAUAGUGAUGCAGCUAGAAAGUAAGUCAGACCUUAGUCUGACUGGAAAACUAAGUAAAAUUAGAAAUAUACACACAUUCUCCCUCCACAAAGAACAUCAACCAUAAAACAAAACAUGCUUUUUCUGGACUGUAACACUUCCUCUCAACUAAUCAUACAUUUUGUGAUUGGUAAGUUUAAUGCUAAGGGCAAAUUUUCAAAGUGGGAUUGGAAUUCCAACUCCAUCAUUUACAGGCUAUGUGAUUUUAGACAAGUUACUUCAUCCUUCUGGGGUUCUUCACCACCAUAUUAAGCUAAUAAUAAAAUGAAAUAAGGAAAAAUUGCAUUGUAGUAUUAUGGACAUUAAAUGAUACAAGUAUAAUUAAAGGGCUCCAAUAAUUGUUGACUUUUAUUAAGAGCUGAUAGAGAUAUACCUAUUUCAUAAAACACAGUAUUCUUGUAAAAUUGAAAUGCCUGGUAAGUGAAAACUGUAGAGUUUAGAUGGUUAGGAUUUUAGUGAUUUGAUUUUUAAUUCUCCAGGAAUUUACAUGCUCUCCCUGUCAAGCUGUUUGAUGUCAUGGGUUUGUAUAGAACUGUCGUGGCAAAACGAUGUAGAGAGAAAAGACAUUAAAGACCAGAACUGAGCCAAAUAUGGUCAUAAUUUGAGAGGAAAGUUAUGACAUAACAAAAUGUAACGACUCAGAAUUGGAUACUUCUGAAGCCAGAUAAGAAUUUUAGCCACAAUUCAUUGUACAAAGUGGAAACAUUUGAUUAAAAAAGAAAAUAAUUAUGAUAAGAUGAAAGUUUGCAAAGCAAAUAGUUGUGACACAAGGACACAGGCUGGAGACAACCUUCAGAAGCCCAUGAUUAUACUCAAGACCAUUGCCAUUCAUUAAUUAUUUCAUCCUUGACCAGAUAUUUCACAUCUUAGGGCUGGCUUUCUGACUUCCAAAAUAAGGUAGCAUCUGUCUUGAUUAUUUCAAAUGACUGUUUCAAAAGGGUUAUAAAAAAGAAAAUAAUAAUGUGUUGUGUAAAUAUAAGCAGUGGUAGUCUCUCAUGCUUUCUUUGUAUUAGGUUUCCACCCCUGAAGGGAGUCUUUUUGGUACAGGGACAUCAGUUUGCGUUGUGUUGGAAAGAUGGUUAAAUAUGUUUGUUUCAGUAAUUGGUUAACUGUAGUUCUGAAGGUUGGAGGUUUGGGGUAGAGCAGGAGAAAGCAUGUGUAGACAACAUUGUCAGGGAAAUUGAAUCUCAGAUGGUGCUUGUUUAAUUUUUCCCACCUCAUUCUUCUUCAAGCUAAUGCUCCCCCAGGACUGUGGCUGAGCCUGGUAUAUUUGUGAAUGAAGUUACUGAUUAGGGAAAUCUAAGCUUCAAUGAGAUGACAUAAAAUGAUCAAAACAGAGAGCUGGAGAGUUAGAAAUAAGGUUGGCUCAACUCAUGUGUCAUUGGUAUAGCAGGCCAUGGAUGUUGGCAGAGAAAGGAGGAGAACUCAUUGAGUUGAGAAAUGUGGGGUCUGUGGAACAGAAAACACCUGAGAAAUUGAAAGUGAAGACAGAGUGUAUGUGUGUCUAUUGAGAAAUGAGUAUUCUUACAGGCUUAUUUAAAGAAAAAAGGAUGUGUUAACUUUAGAAUACUGAAUUUUAUAUACUGCAUUAGUGAAGAUAGCUUCUGGCAUGCUAUGAAGAGUCAGAUGUGAAUGGAGGAAGAAUCAUUAAACUUAAAAAUGUUACCUAAGAAGCUCUAAAUCAUGUAAAAGUUAUUCAUGACUUUUAAGUAGUCAUUAUCUUUGAUUCUUGAUAUAUUUUACUAAGGCUAAAAUAUAAACAAAUUUCUUGAUGAAGGUAGUGAUAGUAAGUUAAAUCACCAGCUUUGUAAGAAUUGUAUAGCCCUGACUACUGAACUAAGAAAAAGAGUAAGAUUGAAAAAAAGGAAGAAAGAGGAAAAAAGCAGAUUAGAAAAUACCUUGUGGUAUUUGAAUGACUCAUGAGGAUAAAACUGAAGAGGGCAAAAGAUAUUUGAAAAAUAGGUCCAUUCACUUUUAAAUAUCCAAAUUCAUUUUGUUUUAAGUUGUUUUAAGAUUAAUGAAUUGAGAUAGUUUCAGUGACAGCAUGCUGAGUUUUUUUAUUCAUAAUGAUAAAACACUUUGCUUCUUUUCUGAUUGUGGGUAGAGGAUUGCAUGAAUUAUGCCUUUUCUGUCAAAGGAAUUGAAUAAUCCACAUAAAUUAAUCCCUGAGUUACCAAAGAUAGCAUCAAUUUUUAAACUAAUACAUAUAUUAGAGAAAGGUUUCAGUUGCUUAAAAGUACAUCCACAAAUAUAUUUGAUUAAUUGUCCUUGAAGGGAAAACAAUUGAACUCAAUGUAAAAUUAGAUUUCCUACUUAAGAGCAGUGACUAUUCUUCUGGAGACUAAAAUGUUAUAUUGCCCGCAUAACAUAAUUUAAGCUCAUACACGUAUUCUGUCAUUUGACCUCAAUUCCAUGUAUAAGCAAGAAAUGGUUUUUGCUUCCUUUGCUUACAUUAGCAGAAACUAUAUAUAUUUUGACCUAGUCAUUUGGGCAGGACAAAUUACACUGCAAGUUUCAAAUAAAUUUAUUUACAAGAGAUACCCAAAUUGAUUCGCUUGCCAACAGAUUGCUGAACUAAAUUCCUAGGAAGAAUCUUCAUUUUUUAUGUAAUUUUUAUUUACAAUACUAUUCAAAUCAAAAUUUCAGUUAUUUAUCACUAGAUGAUGGGAUACAGAACACCUUGGUUCAUCAGAUUUGCUGAUUUUGAUGGUGUAAAUACAUUGUUACUGAUUUCAAGUUAGGAAAGUGAGGCCACUGAAAGUGGAAUUGAGAAAGGAUGCCUCCAGAGGGGUCAAGUAGAAAGCUAAGGGAUCACCCUAGCUACCUCAGUGGAGUUUGUGAAUGUGGUUACUAUAUGUGAGCAUAGAUGCUCCAAGCCUCCUCUUCGGUUCAGAUAGAAAAGUCCUCAGUGACUCAUCCUGAUUUAAAAGGGUAGAACAGAGUCCAGACAUUAAGUAAGUCCCUGUUUUGCAGUGCCUGCCUCUGCGUCAUUAGCACUCAGACCAGCCUCAUGCUAUAAAACUGAAAGAAGAAUAAUAUACAAACAUAUUCCCAAGGGAGGCUUAGAAAAUUAUAAUCUUAUUACCUCUUGAAAACAUUACCCUUUUUCCUCUUUGUUCAACUUUUCCCAGGAGAGCUGCUUGUAAAGUCUUCAGUAGGGUCUUCCUUCUUUUUAAUGGCAAACAAGUGCCUUAAAGGGCCCUAAUGAUUUCCUUCCUUCUGAUACCACUCUUCAGACACUUUUGUAGUAUCUUCACACUAACAGGUGUUAGUCUGAAUUUACAAUCAGAUUAGUUUGGAUUGGUCUUGGUCUUCCUCAUUCCCCCAGUGUAUCUUUCACACUUAUUUGAAGCAAAGGUAACUGCCUUGUUAUACCAAUUAUAGCAAAAGUCCACACCUAUAUCCCUCGUGGUUAAGAUUACUGGUGGCUGAAAAUGAUACGCACAUCCCAUAAUCUCUGGAAAUAGAAAUGCACAUGUUAGUAUUUUUUAAUGAAAGAACUUGAUAGGCACAAAGCCCUCCUGGCUUAAGUGAUUUAGGUCAUUCACUCAACUUGGUAUCCCCUUUCCCCUUCCUUUCCCUGUGUCUGUCCUUUUAUACUUGUCCCAGGAAUCAUCCUUUCAAUAUCUCCCUUAAUUAGCCUUCUCUGCCCUCCAGGCCUAAUUGGGUGUUCUUCCUUUUCUUCUCCUUAGUGCUCCCAUUGCAUUAUAUAUGCUUCAAUAAGUAUUUCUACAUUUUUUAUUUUGAAAAAUUUCAAACUAGUACAGUAAAUACCCAUAUACCAUUCAUUUAGGUUUGCCAAUUUUGCACACAUUUUUUUGUUUUUCUCUCUCCCUCUCAGUGCUGGGAUUGGCCUCACACAUUGCUAGCUGGGUGCUUUACCACUGAGCUGCGUUCCCAGCGUGUUGCAUUUUUAAUGUAUAACAUGCAUAUUUACAAAUAUCUGUGUGCUCAGACUUCUUUUUCUGAAUCCUUGAAGGAAAUCAGUGUCCCACACCACUACUUUUGUUAGUCACCCACUACUUUUUUACACAGAUCCUGCUAUUUUUAGAUUAAUUAUACUGCACAAUUUUUGAGAUUUAUUUCAUGACAAAUAAUUAUGAAACAACUGCUGUGUAACAGACACUGAAGUCGAAACUUGAAGUUCUCAGUGUGCAGACAGCCUGACUAUAGGAUGUUUGUGUGUGUGUGUGUGUGUGUGUGUGUGUGUGUGUGUGAGAGAGAGAGAGAGAAAGAGAGAGAGAAAGAAACAUGACAGGAUCAUAAGAGGGAGAAAAUGUUACAUUUGAAAGCAGAGAAAAGAGCUCCUAUAUCCAGAUCUGUGGAAGUACCAUCAUUCAUCCAUUUAUUGAUUCAUCCAGUCACUACCAUGUAUCCUUUACUCUAUGUUAGGCUCUGUGUAUACACAACUGAGAUUCUGAACCUUUAAAGAACCUGAUCUUAAGUAGGGGACUGAGAAGAUCUUCAAAGAAUACAGUGGAAUGUGAUUGUUGAUGAGAACUGGAUACUUUGUAUACAGAGGAAAGGGAAACAGGGAGUGUGCCUGAGUAUUUCUGGUAAUGCUUGGGUGGUAAUUUUCAGGAUAAAGAGGAGUAAAGUAGGCAGGUAAAGACUGAGAAAGCACACUUAAACUGAGACAUCAGUAUAUUUUAAGCGGAAGAAACCUGAAAGAAUAUAGAAUGUUCCAGGAACUGGUAGAAGUUUAAUGUAAGGGGGUGGCAAAUGCUAAGAGGCAGUCGUGAGAAAAGGGAAGGCACAGGGCUACAGGCUUAGGUCCAGGCUGUGAGGGACCUUCUGAGUUCAGAUUAACAGUUUGAAAGCCAUGAGACACCAGUGAGCAAUUCAGGUGGGAUUGUGACAGAUACUAGAUUUGUGUUUAAAUAAUCUUACUCUGAAGAAGACUUUGACAAUGAUUGAUCUUGAUAUUUUUAUUUUGGGGAGAUUAAAUCUCUCUUUCAUAGGAAGCUAGCUGUUAUAUUAAAAGUGAUUCAGAGACAGAUUUAGGUAAUUGUUGUACAUUCAAUAAAUUAACCAAAUAAUGGAUGCCUCAGCCGGUUUCUCUCACCUAAGAAUUUUAUUUUCUUUCAGAUUUUUUUUCCACAGGAAAGCAACAUCUAAUAUUAAAUAUAUUACUUGCAGCAAGGAGAUAGUAGUUUCUUCAGCUAACAUUAAGAGAGGGUGGGAGGGAGGAGAGAGGAAAAAGGAAUAAUUGUACAGCUGGAUUUGUAGGAUACUGGGAUGUCAUUUAAAUCUUUUUGUUGUUGCAAAAUUUUUUGUUGAGUAAAUGAGUAGGAAUUAAUCAAUGAAAACAUGAGAGUGAGUCUGAGACUUCAUAACUGAUGCAGUGUUAUGUUUAUUGAACCAAUUAAGCCUGAUUGACAUGCAGAUUGCAGCAGCUCUGACACUGCACCCUUUGCUCACAGCACUGAGGUUCUCUGCUUCUUCAGUUCAGGUCCACUGGCAGGAUCAAUGAGCUGCAGGAAUCUUGUCAGAGAUAGCAUUACUGGGGUUGCUUAUGCAGAUAUAAAAUUAUAUGACAUAAAAUCAAAAAAGUUACCUAGCUAUUGGUUUUAACAAAUUAUAUUUGUUUUAUACUCCCACAAAUAGUCAGAUAGCAUAGGUUACACUUGCAGUUUAUUGCCUCAAAAGAGCCUGUCAGUUUGAUUUCUGAAGGAUAUAAAGUUACUAAGUUGCCUUGCAGUACUGGGUUCCUCAGCUGAAACACCUAUUAGUAUUUUGGAUCUCAUAAGUAUUUGUGGGAAGGGGUUGUCCCUUGCAUUGUAGAGUACUUAUCAUCCCUGGUCUCCAUCUACUCCACUCCACUAGCAUUUCUGCCCCACCUCCAGUUGUUAUACCAGACAAGUCUAGAUGCCCUCUGGAGGGCAAAGGUACCCCUUCUUGAGAAGCACAGGUAGAUACAUUUAUGAGUUAGGAAAAAUAGUAGUUCAGUUACCCUUCCCAUAAUGUAUAUUUAUUCAUUUCUAAAUCCAUGAAAAUACCUAUAUACUACAAGUAUAUAAAACAUGUAAAACAAAUGCAUGUUUCUCAAUAUUACACACACAUACAUAUAUAUAUAGAGAGAGAAUGGUUUGGAACUUUGAGUGCUCAAAGUUAGGGAAUAUUUCAUAGAAUUAACAAGUCUGAAAUACUUGUUGAAUUUUUGUCUUAGACCAGUGUUAAACUGUUUCUAGCCAUCCUUUUUUCUUUUGGACUUAUUACCAUGUUAAUUGUACAAAUUAAUGGGUUUCACUGUGAUACUUCUAUACACCAUGCAUUGGUCAUGUCUAUCCACCGUUAUUUUCAGUAAACACCUAGGAAGUGCUGUGUGCCAGGCAUUCUGGUGCUAAACUAAGGGCUUUCACUACAAGGUUUUGUUUAUUUUGUAAACAGUCCUAUUCAAACAGGUAUUGGUAGCCCUAUUUUAGAUUGGAAAAAUCUAAAACUUAAAGUCUAAACACAGAUCAUAAAGCUAGUUCAUACUGGAAUUAAAGAUUGGGUCUUCAUGCUAUAAUUAUUUCUGGUUUGGGGGAAUUCUUUUGUUCUGUUUCUCUUUUUUGGCUCUGGGUGUCAGACACAGGGUCUCGAACAUAUUAGGCAAUCACUCUCCCACUGAGUUACAUCCUCAGCCCUACAGUCAUUUCUUUAUUUGAUAUAUUCAACAUGUACCUACAGUGUACCAGGUACUUUUUUUCUGUUGAGAAAAUGUCAGUACCUGCUCUUUUGUAGAUAAUAUCUUCAAUAGAUCUUCAUAUUUCAUUAUUUUUCAUACUGUUUCUGAACCAAAUUAAGAUCGAGAUUAAUUCAUACACAGCCCAGAAAAUGUAAUUUAUGUAUAUAUAGUAGCCAUAUUUCAUCAAAACCUUUCUCCUAAAAAGUAUAUUGGGUAAGUAGAUUUUUUUGUUCCCACAAUAUGUUACAAAUUUAACAUUCCCUUGUUCCUCAUGUACAAUUCCUGGAAUACAGUUGCUUCUUUCUGUAAUUUGGCCAAAUAACCUAGAAAAUAGAGACUACUAACUGCCUGUAUUUUACAGCCUAAUUUGUAAUAUCUUUGUUUGGCAGUGCCUGCAUCUUUUAUGUUUAAAAUUCCUUAAGACAAGGACAUCUGUACACAAUGUAGCUCUAGUGUGACUUACAAUAACUUUGUGUUUUUGUUAUCUCAGUGAGAGUUCACUCGCAAGGAGACAAUGCAUCCUUUGUAACUACUAGUAAAACACUGCACAGUAUGACAUGUGUAGCAUAUGCACAGAGUAAUGGAAGUCAGAAAGGAUAAGUUCAGUGUCUGCUUGUUACCAGUCCAGAAAUCCACUUCCAUCAGACUUGGUGUGGAAGAUAGGAGAAAAUUUACUUGUGAAUGACAAAAUUUCAUUCUUCUUUGUGGCUGUGUAAAAUUCCAUUAUGUAUAAAUACCACAUUUUCUUCAUCCAUUCAUCAGU